rnacentral:rRNA from 1 species
CUACGGGUUGCUCCAGUAAGGAAUAUUGCGCAAUGGAGGCAACUCUGACGCAGCCAUGCCGCGUGCAGGACUGAAGGCCUUAUGGGUCGUAAACUGCUUUUAUUUAGGAACAAACUUUCGUACGUGUACGAGACUGAAGGUACUAAAUGAAUAAGCACCGGCUAACUCCGUGCCAGCAGCCGCGGUAAUACGGAGGGUGCAGGCGUUAUCCGGAUUUAUUGGGUUUAAAGGGUGCGCAGGCGGACUAUUAAGUCAGAGGUGAAAUCCCGGAGCUCAACUUCGGAACUGCCUUUGAUACUGGUAGUCUUGAAUACGGUUGAAGUAGGCGGAAUGUAGCAUGUAGCGGUGAAAUGCAUAGAGAUGCUACAGAACACCGAUCGCGAAGGCAGCUUACUAAGCCGAUAUUGACGCUCAGGCACGAAAGCGUGGGGAGCGAACAGGAUUAGAUACCCCUGUAGUC